UACAGUUAACCGUCAUUAACGUGGUAGAUGAAGGAAAGGAAAUUCGAUUCCGGUUGAGGCAGGGGUUUCAGUUGAGGGAAAAACAAUAUGUGGAGGACGAUGAGAAUGAAAUUGGGGGGUACAGGCGGCGGAAGAAGGUGGUUGAGCAGUCGGAGUGAUUGGGGGAAGGGGAAGAGGAUCGCGGCGGUGUGGGGGAACGGGGACUACGGGAGGCUUGGGCUCGGUAGCCUGGGCUCUCAGUGGAAGCCUGCCCCUUUGCGUUCGUCUGCCUUUGGCGACCAAUCCCUUGAAGCCAUAGCUUGCGGCGGCGCUCACACUCUCUUCUUAACGGGCAGCGGCCGCCUUUACGCCACCGGUCUCAAUGAUUUUGGACAGCUUGGAGUUGGGGAUUCUCAUGAUUUAACUUACACUUGUAAGCCCUUAGAGGUAACUGGAAUUGGCAAGGAAAUUGUUCGAAUUUCGGCCGGUUACUACCACUCUUGUGCUAUUACAGAAGAUGGAGAAUUGUACAUGUGGGGGAAGAACUCAAAUGGGCAGCUUGGUCUUGGAAAAAGGGCUGCAGGGCUAAUUUCUGUACCAACCAAAGUUGAAUGCUUGGCUGGAAUCACCAUUAAUACAGCAGCUUUGGGAUCAGAGCACUCAGUGGCUGUUACUGAUGGAGGUGAGUCCUUAAGUUGGGGAGGAGGGUCUGGAAGACUUGGUCAUGGCCACGAAUCAGGAAUUUUAGGAAUUCUCAGAAGUACCAGCGAAUAUACACCACGACUUAUCAAGAAACUUGAGGGGAUCAAGGUUAAAGAGGUUGCUGCUGGAUUGCUGCAAUCAGCAUGCAUUGAUGACAAUGGGUCCGUAUUCAUGUUUGGUGAAAGAACAGUAGAUAAAUUGUGGUCUGGAAAGGGGAACAAUGCAACAACACCAUCCAUGAUCAGCAAACUGCCAUGCUCCAAAGAAGUUGCUUGUGGUGGCUAUCACACGUGUGUCUUAACAAGUGGUGGAGAACUGUACAGUUGGGGAUCAAAUGAAAAUGGGUGCCUUGGCAUUGGUACGACAGACGUUUUUCACCACCCAGAAAGAGUUCAGGGACCUUUUUUAAAAUCCCCGGUUGUCAAGGUAUCGUGCGGUUGGAAGCAUACAGCAGCAAUUUCUGGUUUUUCACAAGAAAAUUAUUGUGUUUGGUAACAGAAGGCAAUAUUUAUACAUGGGGUUGGGGAGGUUCCCUUGGAACAUUUUCCGAAGAUGGACAUUCUUCUGGAGGACAACUGGGUCAUGGAACUGAUGUUGACUGCAUAAAACCUGCAAUGGUUACGUUCGGGCAGAAUGUGAAAGCACUACAAAUAUCAUGUGGAUUCAAUCAUACUGGUGCCAUACUUGAAUACACAUAAGCUUCAGCACCUGCGGUCUCAGCUUAAAGAAAUGUAGCAACUUGUGGGUUCUGACAAGUGAUUUAGACAUGUCUCUUUGGCGUGCUCUCUUCAUUCGUUCAUUCAGUGUACAUUUGAUUUGCAUCGGUCACUAGAGCAGCAACCACACAUAGUUAUACAAUACAAGACUACCAAUAUCAACCUACAAAUUUCCAAUGGUAAUUUCAAAGUAUAAAUUUAUGGUUAUGUAUGUGUAAUAAAAGGUUCAAUUGGUAUAACGUUGCGAUUCUAUUUGUUCAAGUGAUUGUAAAUUUGUAAGAUAAUAUACAAAUAUUUACACAUCACUGCAAAAUUGUAUUUCACUUGAAUAAUAUUUGUGAUGUUUAUAUUUACGUACUUUUCUGAA